rnacentral:lncRNA from 1 species
CCACCCGGGACCUCCUUCUCGCAUGGCAGGCGACUUCAGCUUGAGGCUGAGGCUGCAGAGCCCGACCUGCCAGAGGGGACCUGUAAGUGGCAGGAGCCCCAGCUGGCUCUGGGCUUCCUCCUGGUCCAGCUCGUGGGGAGUUCUGGCUGCGUCGGUGGCAGCAGUGCCAUUUCUUCCCCGUGCCGCCUCUGGUGGGAAGACAGUGAGGCACUGAGGAAUAGCUUCGUGGAGUGAAAUGAACGUGAGCAGAGGGAGGCAGCGGUGACAGGUACCCCCGGCGCCGUUCCUGUGUGUUGGUCUGAGUAGGGGUCUCCCCACGGGUGCCUCCCCGGGGGACAGGACUCUCCAGAGGUAGCUGGCCUUCCUGGGCCUGCCAGGAGUACGUGUGGGGAAUAAAGUGGGUUUCAGAUCGGCUUUGGACAGAAGCGUGAAAGAGCGAAGCCAGGCGCAUCAGGGUGUCCAGAGCAGAGUCUCAGCCUGGGCCUCCUUGGAACCCCAUCAGGAGAGUUUUAAAAUGCCGCUGACCGGGGCCGCCCCAGACAGAGGGCGCUCGCAUCCCUAAGGUGCAGUCUGGACGCAGUACUCUUGGAAGGC